GGUUAAAACCAACAAACAAUUCCUUAGAAGCAGUCAACAGUUUUGUUAGUGUUUUUGUGGUCAAAAUGUGUGACAAUCCAAUGCAUUUGACUAAUUAUAAGAGUUAAAGAUGGAUAAGAAGUGUUUAGACAACACUUAUAUCAUGUUUCUCUCAAAAGAGGAUAAAACCAACAAAAAAUUGCUUAGAAUCAGUAAAUGGCUUUGUUUGUUUUUCUAUGGUCAAAAUGUGUCACAAUCCAAUGCAUUUGACUAAUUAUAAGAGUUAGAGAUGGAUUAAGAGUGUUUAGACAACACUGAUACUCAUUUUCCCCCAAAAGAGGCUUAAACCAACAAAAACUUGCUUAA
rnacentral:sRNA from 1 species